CGAAUAAAUUAUCCAGUUAUUUUAUCUUUUACCAUUAUUUUCUGAAAUUCUUUUUAAUUAUUAUAUUUGAAAAAGAAAAUGAAAUCAUUCUACUGAAUAGAGUCUAGGACGCUAACUUUAAAUACUCUUCUGGUGAGUGAAACAGUGGAGAAAAAUAGUAAGCACACUCGAAUGUGGUAAGAUACACGUUUUCAUUCCUAAUUCCAUUGAAUGUAAUUUAAGUGCUUCAAUGUUAUUCAUAUCAUUAUUGUAUUUUUGUAUGUAAUCUUAGUUACUGUAUUUAAAUUUUUCAACUGGGAUAAAAUAAAUAUAUUUUUAUACUAUUA